UACGGAGGGGGCUAGCGUUAUUCGGAAUUAUUGGGCGUAAAGGGCGUGUAGGCGGCUUCGUGUGUCUCGUGUGAAAGCCCUCGGCUCAACCGAGGAACUGCAUGGGAAACUGCGGAGCUUGAGUCCGGGAGAGGAGAGUGGAAUUCCCAGUGUAGCGGUGAAAUGCGUAGAUAUUGGGAGGAACACCGGUGGCGAAGGCGGCUCUCUGGACCGGUACUGACGCUAAAACGCGAAAGCUAGGGGAGCAAACGGG
rnacentral:rRNA from 1 species